rnacentral:tRNA from 1 species
GCGGUAGUAGCUCAGUUGGUAGAGCGUCAGCUUCCCAAGCUGAAGGUCGUGGGUUCGAGACCCAUUUACCGCU